UACGUAGGGUGCGAGCGUUGUCCGGAAUCAUUGGGCGUAAAGGGCGCGUAGGUGGCCCGGUCAGUCUUUGGUGAAAGCGCGGGGCUCAACCCUGCGUCGGCCAGGGAUACUGCCGCGGCUCGAGCACUGUAGAGGCAGGCGGAAUUCCGGGUGUAGCGGUGGAAUGCGUAGAGAUCCGGAAGAACACCGGUGGCGAAGGCGGCCUGCUGGGCAGUUUUGCUGACACUGAGGCGCGACAGCGUGGGGAGCAAACAGG
rnacentral:rRNA from 1 species